rnacentral:rRNA from 1 species
GACAGAGGGGGCAAGCGUUGCUCGGAAUCACUGGGCGUAAAGGGCGCGUAGGCGGGAUGGCAAGUCGGUCGUGAAAUCUCUCGGCUCAACCGAGAAACGUCGGCCGAUACUGCCGUUCUUGAGGGAUGCAGAGGAGACUGGAAUUCCCGGUGUAGCGGUGAAAUGUGUAGAGAUCGGGGAGGAACACCGGUGGCGAAGGCAGGUCUCUGGGCUGACACUGACGCUCAUGCACGAAAGCGUGGGGAGCAAACAGG